rnacentral:rRNA from 1 species
GAUUCUUCGGAUGAAGGUCUGGUGACUGAGUGGCGGACGGGUGAGUAACGCGUGGGUAACCUGCCCUGUACAGGGGGAUAACAGUUGGAAGCGGCUGCUAAUACCGCAUAAGCGCACGAGAGGACAUCCUCUUGUGUGAAAAACUCCGGUGGUACAGGAUGGACCCGCGUCUGAUUAGCUGGUUGGCAGGGUAACGGCCUACCAAGGCGACGAUCAGUAGCCGGUCUGAGAGGAUGAACGGCCACAUUGGAACUGAGACACGGUCCAAACUCCUACGGGAGGCAGCAGUGGGGAAUAUUGCACAAUGGGGGAAACCCUGAUGCAGCAACGCCGCGUGAGUGAAGAAGUAUUUCGGUAUGUAAAGCUCUAUCAGCAGGGAAGAUAAUGACGGUACCUGACUAAGAAGCUCCGGCUAAAUACGUGCCAGCAGCCGCGGUAAUACGUAUGGAGCAAGCGUUAUCCGGAUUUACUGGGUGUAAAGGGUGCGUAGGUGGCAGUGCAAGUCAGAUGUGAAAGGCCGGGGCUCAACCCCGGAGCUGCAUUUGAAACUGCAUAGCUAGAGUACAGGAGAGGCAGGCGGAAUUCCUAGUGUAGCGGUGAAAUGCGUAGAUAUUAGGAGGAAC